UCCAGACUCCUACGGGAGGCAGCAGUGGGGAAUAUUGGGCAAUGGGCGAAAGCCUGACCCAGCAACGCCGCGUGAAGGAAGGAGGCUUUCGGGUUGUAAACUUCUUUUGACAGGGAAGAGCAGAAGACGGUACCUGUCGAAUAAGCCACGGCUAACUACGUGCCAGCAGCCGCGGUAAUACGUAGGUGGCAAGCGUUGUCCGGAUUUACUGGGUGUAAAGGGAGCGCAGACGGCAGUGCAAGUCUGGAGUGAAAGCCCGGGGCCCAACCCCGGGACUGCUCUGGAAACUGUACGGCUGGAGUACGGGAGGGGCAGGCGGAAUUCCUAGUGUAGCGGUGAAAUGCGUAGAUAUUAGGAGGAACACCGGCGGCGAAGGCGGCCUGCUGGACCGAAACUGACGUUGAGGCGCGAAAGCGUGGGGAGCAAACGGGAUUAGAUACCCCCGUAAG
rnacentral:rRNA from 1 species